ACUGUUCGCCCGAGAACUACAAGCGAAAAACUUAAAACUCUAAGGACUUGGCGGUGCUCCAUAUCAACCUAGAGGAGCCUGUCCUAUAAUCGAUACCCCACGCUACACCUCACCACCCCUAGAAACCCAGCCUAUAUACCGCCGUCGACAGCCUACCUUAUGAGAGAAAUUCAGUAGGCACAACAAUUAGUAACUAAUACGUCAGGUCAAGGUGUAGCAUAUGGGGUGGUAGAGAUGGGCUACAUUUCCUCCAACAGGAAAUACGCACAGUGUACUGAAACACCCACCCAAAGGCGGAUUUAGCAGUAAGACAAAUAAGCAUUAUUGCCUCAAACCUGCUCUGGAGCGCGCACACACCGCCCGU
rnacentral:rRNA from 1 species